UAAAAGAUAAUAUUAUGCUUAUUUUAUAAUUACCUGCCUACUAAGUGCGCUUUUUUUAACAAACAGCUAGACCUCGGAAAAAAAUUAGUUUUACGAGCCUCACGUUUCAUUAUUAUAAUGAUAUAUUCCUAUUAAUUUAUUAUCAAAAUAUUAUGCAAUUAUUAAAAUGUAUAGAUUCGCUUCUAAACAUUUUAUUAAAUUAAUACAUUAUUGUUUAAACUUUUUAUGUAUAACAACAUAUAUUA